GCGGAAGUGGCUCAGUUGGUAGAGCAUCACCUUGCCAAGGUGAGGGUCGCGGGUUCGAAUCCCGUCUUCCGCUCCA
rnacentral:tRNA from 2 species